rnacentral:rRNA from 1 species
UACGAAGGGGGCUAGCGUUGCUCGGAAUCACUGGGCGUAAAGCGCACGUAGGCGGCUUGCUAAGUCAGGGGUGAAUCCUGGAGCUCAACUCCAGAACUGCCUUUGAUACUGGCGAGCUUCGAGUCCGGGAGAGGUGAGUGGAACUGCGAGUGUAGAGGUGAAAUUCGUAGAUAUUCGCAAGAACACCAGUGGCGAAGGCGGCUCACUGGCCCGGUACUGACGCUGAGGUGCGAAAGCGUGGGGAGCGAACGA